rnacentral:rRNA from 1 species
GAAUCAACGCUGGCGGCGUGCCUAACACAUGCAAGUCGAACGCGAAAGUGGAGCAAUCCAUGAGUAGAGUGGCAAACGGGUGAGUAACGCGUGGGCGACCUACCUUCGAGUGGGGGAUAACCUUCCGGAAAGGAGGGCUAAUACCGCAUGACAUCCCGUGUUUGGAUACACGGACAUCAAAGCCGGGGAUCGUAAGCCUGGCGCUUGAAGAGGGGCCCGCGUCCGAUUAGCUAGUUGGNGAGGUAACGGCUCACCAAGGCUCCGAUCGGUAUCCGGCCUGAGAGGGCGGACGGACAC